rnacentral:rRNA from 1 species
CGCAUCUGUGCAUGCAGCAUAUCAAUAAGCGGAGGAAAAGAAACUAACAAGGAUUCCCCUAGUAACGGCGAGUGAAGCGGGAAGAGCUCAAAUUUGAAAUCUUAAAGGGUUUCCCUUUACGAAUUGUAGUUUAAAGAAGUGUUUUCUGUUGAGGUUUUGGUAAAAGUUCUUUGGAAUAGGACAUCAUAGAGGGUGAGAAUCCCGUAUUUGACCUUUACUUUCAACUUUGUGAUACACUUUCAAAGAGUCGGAUUGUUUGGGAAUGCAGUCCAAAAUGGGUGGUAAAUUUCAUCUAAAGCUAAAUAUUGGCGAGAGACCGAUAGCGAACAAGUACCGUGAGGGAAAGAUGAAAAGAACUUUGAAAAGAGAGUUAAACAGUACGUGAAAUUGUCAAAAGGGAAGCGUUUGACACCAGUGUUGUUUUUCUGAAGAUCAAUUAAAGAACUGUCUAUGCUAAGUUGUUUAGACUUUAUCAGCUAACUGUUUAGUUUUGAGCUUUUCUUUAAUGCACUUUUCAGUUAACAAGUCAACAUCAAUUUCUUUUGCUGUAAAAAAGCUUGAGGAAGGUGGCUUGAGAUUCGUCUUAAGUGUUUAUAGCCUCUUGCCUAUGCAGUCGGAGAGAUUGAGGUCUGCAGCGUAGAUCCUUCGGGGCUAAAUGCAUUUGUGCUAAGUUAUAGCAUUUUAUAGGACAACUUGUUGACUAUGAUUUGUCUUGUAGCUUACUCGCUUAUGUUAUUUUACCUACGCUUAGGAUGUUGAGUCGUAGAGCACGCAG